AAACUGAAGAGUUUGAUCCUGGCUCAGAUUGAACGCUGGCGGCAUGCCUUACACAUGCAAGUCGAACGGCAGCACGGAGCUUGC
rnacentral:rRNA from 1 species